rnacentral:rRNA from 1 species
UACGUAGGGGGCUAGCGUUGUCCGGAUUUACUGGGCGUAAAGGGCGCGUAGGCGGCCACCGCAAGUCGACUGUGAAAUCUCCGGGCUUAACCCGGAAAGGUCAGCCGAUACUGCGGGGCUAGAGUGCAGAAGGGGCAACUGGAAUUCUCGGUGUAGCGGUGAAAUGCGUAGAUAUCGAGAGGAACACCUGCGGCGAAGGCGGGUUGCUGGGCUGACACUGACGCUGAGGCGCGAAAGCUAGGGGAGCGAACGGG